rnacentral:misc_RNA from 1 species
GAUGAAGAACGUAGCGAAAUGCGAUAAGUAAUGUGAAUUGCAGAAUUCAGUGAAUCAUCGAAUCUUUGAACUCACAUUGCGCCCGCCAGCAUUCUGGCGGGCAUGCCUGUUCGAGCGUCAUUUCAACCCUCAAGCUCUGCUUGGUGUUGGGGCCCUACGGUUGACGUAGGCCCUUAAAGGUAGUGGCGGACCCUCUCGGAGCCUCCUUUGCGUAGUAACUAACGUCUCGCAUUGGGAUUCGGAGGGACUCUUGCCGUAAAACCCCCAAAUUUUCUAAUGAUUGACCUCGGAUCAGGUAGGAAUACCCGCUGAACUUAAGCAUAUCAAUAAGCGGAGGA